GGAGCUGCUCUGUCCUGUGUGUCUUUACAGAUGUGAAUGGUGGGGAAUGGGAUCCAGCUUCCCAGCUGGCUUCCAGGUCAGAAGGUCCGGCAAAUCGCAUGAGUAAGUUGUGGCUUCUUCCUUCCUUUGACAGCUGCCAGCUCAAAGCUCUAAUGUCAGCCAGGCGUGUGUGCAGGCAUGAGAAUCCAGACGUGCCUGUGUGUGCCCUGUCAUUGCAUGAUUCCCUGAUACCACCUGGCCCUCAGUGAUGCCCUUAUGCAGUUGUGUAGAUUGCAGUGUAUGAUGGAAAGUUCUCGUGGUUCUUUGGUUGCAGAAGUGCCUCCAGGGAGGGCCUUGCCAAGUCGUCGGCUGGAGUCCCGCUGGCACCCCAGGGGUCCUGAGAGAUGGAAAGAGGAAUUGAAAAGAGGAAAAUACUCCCCCGUCCUAAAGGAAAUCAAGACGGAUUUUGAGAAGGCAGCUCCUGGUGUGACUGGAGGUGAAGAUGAUCCAGCUUCCCCUCUGAGUUCCGGGACUGAAACUGCGGCAGAUCACGUGGAAGUGCCCCCAGGGAGGGCCUUGCCGCGUCCUCGGCUCCUUCCUGUGCUGGAGCCCAGCUGGAAUCCCAGGGGUGAGUAGUUAGUCUUUUCUGAUU
rnacentral:lncRNA from 1 species